GGGGGGGGGGGGGGGGGGCGACAAGCACGUGGGAGACAUGAAAAUAUGCGAGGGAGCGAAGCGAGUGAGAGAGCAAAGCAGAACCGUUUGUUUUGACAGUCAACUUCAACUUGGAGUGGCAAUAAACAGCGGUAAGCGUCUUUUUGGAAAAAUUCCUCACGAGCUGCCAAAGUGCUGCUUGUCACCAUACAGUACAGUUUUUCAGCGAAUUACCCAAUGGGAAAGAAAAGGAAAUAGGCGAAUUUAUGAAUAGUGAACCGCAAGUCUGUGUGGGAUUCCUGGAAUGACUUAAUGUAGUGACUGAGAUUUGCGAGAACAUUAGCAGUAUGUACGGUACGAAUGUCAAUGAAGCAAACGACCAGAAACGACAACUUGACUAGUGAUUGUUUUGACAUUGUGGUCAUGAGGAAAAAAAAAGGGACCUCUAGUUUUGAAGGAAUGUCUAUCAGCAUGCAUGCGCUUAGUAUCGAACGAAGGUUGACGACCAGCAAUCAUCGUAAGGAAGAUGGGGAAUCCGUUGACAACAGACAUCUGGGCCCUGAAAACACCAACGCUACCAUCCGGAGGAUGUAAAAGAAAAUGUCUCAGCACUUCAGAGACGACGCCGUCUGCCAAUGUGGUUCACAUGUGCGUUUGUGCCACAACUGCACUCUUUCUCUCCUGGCAAGCUUUGGCGUUCCACUGGCAACCAAUCAAGCGCUCCCCUGAUGACCCUUCUGUCUCUCUGCACUAACAGGCCUACCACCAGAUGCGGCUCUGAGCCACACAGAUAUACUCACGUACGCAUAAUUUUAAGGGAGAAAAAAAAUUGACAAUUGGUUUGGACAAGUCAACGAAAGCCUGGGAAUUCUAACUUUCAGGACUCCAGCUGCGCAUCGAUGGGCCUGACAUAUCGCCGAAGCGGCGGGGGAAGCCCACCCGGUGUUUGAUUUAUUUAACGAUCAUUUGGAGCUAAUAUGAAAUCAUGGUUGUUUUGCCUGCCUUACACCCCCCCACCCUCCACCCCCUCCCCUCCUUGAGCCCAUGUGGAGCAGAUGUCUCCAGCAUCCUCAUGGAUCCCAAGGCUAUCCACACAGUCAUUCACCAUCUGGGACCAUGCUUCAGCUGUAUGAGUGCGUGUCUGUGCGUGGAAAUCUAUGGUGUGUAUCUGAAUGCGACAAGAUGUGUGUGCUGUAUUGGCUAUUCAGAGAGGAAGGAAAGCGCUGCAAGUGGAUACACACCGAGGCACACCUGUCUGUGAGCGGUGGUUUUGUUUUUCCUUCUCCUAUGUGUGCACAUGGCGUGUGUGUGUGUGAGUGUGUGUAUGUGUUUACAUACCCCCACCUGGACAAGAAUUCCCAGAUGAGAAGGCAUUUGGCAGGUGGAAUCCUUUGGAAAAUCGGAUACACCCUGUCCCAGAGUCGCAUAUUGUCAAGAAUGAUUCUUCCUUUGUGCACCACACCCAUCAAACUUUCCUUGCUAUCUGGUCUUUUAUCAGUGGUGCAAAUUGGAAUAUUUGGUCAAUAAAAGUGUUUGAAUUCAGUCCCAA